CCUACGGGAGGCUGCAGUGGGGAAUAUUGGACAAUGGGGGAAACCCUGAUCCAGCGACGCCGCGUGAGUGAAGAAGUAUUUCGGUACGUAAAGCUCUAUCAGCAGGAAAGAAAAUGACGGUACCUGACUCAGAAGCCCCGGCUAACUACGUGCCAGCAGCCGCGGGAAUACGUAGGGGGCAAGCGGUAUCCGGAUUUACUGGGUGUAAAGGGAGCGUAGACGGCAGCGCAAGUCUGGAGUGAAAUGCCGGGGCCAAACCCCUGAACUGCUCUGGAAACUGUGAAGCUGGAGUGCAGGAGAGGUAAGCGGAAUUCCUGGUGUAGCGGUGAAAUGCGUAGAUAUCAGGAGGAACACCGGCGGCGAAGGCGGCUUACUGGACUGUAACUGACGUUGAGGCUCGAAGGCGUGGGGAGCAAACAGGAUUAGAUACCCCUGUAGUC
rnacentral:rRNA from 1 species